GUGGACCAGAGAGGCAGGAGGAGCUGGGCUGGACACUAAGGAAGAGGGCCAUAGAGAAGGCACGGGCUAGAGGGACAGGGGCCACAACGAUGCGAAGGGCCCGGAUGUUACCCCGGAAGAGCUGGAGGGUGACGCGGUCUGGCCUCCCUGUUGGGAAGAGCCAGUGCGGUGUGUGGAAGAGCCUGAGACAGAAGCCUGAGAAGACUCUUACCAGAAUGGAGGAGAGGAAGGAAGGCGUUCUAGACCAGGACAAGAGGCCUUUGGGUUGCAAUCUGAAGGUGGACCAGGCAGUGGAUUGUGAAGGCGAUUGGGAGCAUGGAAUGGUGGCAGGGGAGCCUCCUUCCAGGAGCUGGGACUGGCUCACCUUCUCUCUCAAGCAUUUUCAUAGGACAAAUGGGUCAGCAAGAAGAUCUGUACCAGCAGAGAGAGGGAGCUCUUCUGCCACAGACAGGCCAAUCCUAAAACUGGAUAAAGACAAUGGAAGAGAAAAACAUGAACAUAAAUAAAAAUUUGUUUAACAAAACAAACUAUUAGAAGUCAGAUCUGGCAGUAUGUAGUAAGUGGUUUUAUUAUAGGGAUGGCAGUGUUGAUUCAGCAUUGGAAGAUCCACCCCCAGAAGUCAUCAUUUUAACAGAGGAAAGGAAAAAGCCAUGUGAUCCUGUCACUAGUUGGAGAAAAAGUAUUGGGCUAAAUUCUACAGCUGUUCAUGGUAAAAGCUAUCAGGAGACUAGAAGUAGAACAGAACCUUCUCAACAGAUUAAAGACAUGUACUCCAUACUUCCAGCAAAAACACCUUAUAUGAAUGGAAAAGAUACAAUGCUUUCUUCCUAAGGUGGGGAACAAGAGCAGAUAUGCCUACUCUUCAUCUGUCCAUUAAACUUUGAAACAUAGGCCCAAACCAAAAUAGUCAGGCAAUACAAAGAAACAAAUAGCAUAGGAUUGGCAAGGUAGUAGUAAAAUCUUUAUAUGUAGCUGAAAUGAUCAUCUACAGAGAAAAUACUAAGAAAUCUCCAGGAGCCCCUAGAACUUGUAUUUGAAUUUAGCAGGAUUGAAAAACACAAGGUAUAUAUAAAAAUUCAGGUCUGUGUAUACUUGCUAUAAAUGAAGAAUUGGAUAUUGAAAUUUAAAAGUUAUGUAGGAGUACAAAGGACCCAGAAAAGCCAAAAAACAAAAACAGUGUUGGAAGAUGUUUAGUACCUAAUUUUAAGACUUCUUCUAAAGCUACAGUAAUCAAGGCAGUGUUGGUGUAAGGAAAGACAUAUAGAUCAUUGGAAUAAAACAGAGAAUCUAGAAAUAGAACCACACAUAUAUGGUCCACUGAGUUUUGAAAGAU
rnacentral:lncRNA from 1 species